rnacentral:ncRNA from 2 species
UACGUAGGGGGCAAGCGUUGUCCGGAAUUAUUGGGCGUAAAGCGCGCGCAGGCGGCCAUGUAAGUCUCGUGUUUAAUCCCGGAGCUCAACUCCGGUCCGCACGAGAAACUGUGUGGCUUGAGUGCAGAAGAGGAGAGUGGAAUUCCACGUGUAGCGGUGAAAUGCGUAGAGAUGUGGAGGAACACCAGUGGCGAAGGCGACUCUCUGGUCUGUAACUGACGCUGAGGCGCGAAAGCGUGGGUAGCGAACAGG